UGGGGAAUAUUGGACAAUGGGCGCAAGCCUGAUCCAGCCAUGCCGCGUGUGUGAAGAAGGCCUUUUGGUUGUAAAGCACUUUAAGCGAGGAGGAGGCUACUUGGAUUAAUACUCUAGGAUAGUGGACGUUACUCGCAGAAUAAGCACCGGCUAACUCUGUGCCAGCAGCCGCGGUAAUACAGAGGGUGCGAGCGUUAAUCGGAUUUACUGGGCGUAAAGCGUGCGUAGGCGGCUUUUUAAGUCGGAUGUGAAAUCCCUGAGCUUAACUUAGGAAUUGCAUUCGAUACUGGGAAGCUAGAGUAUGGGAGAGGAUGGUAGAAUUCCAGGUGUGGCGGUGAAAUGCGUAGAGAUCUGGAAGAAUACCGAUGGCGAAGGCAGCCAUCUGGCCUAAUACUGACGCUGAGGUACGAAAGCAUGGGGAGCAAACAGG
rnacentral:rRNA from 1 species